rnacentral:rRNA from 1 species
GGUAGUCGUGGGAAGAAUUGGGCCAAAACAGUGCAAAAGGAAUGGAAAAUUUUAGAGAAUGACUUACCAGAAAACAUCUAUGUGCGAGCGUUCGAGGACCGCAUGGACCUACUCCGGCUGGUGAUGGUCGGGGCGAGUGGGACGCCGUACAGUCACGGCCUAUUUUUCUUCGACUUGCAGCUGCCACCGUCCUACCCGGCAGCGCCACCGCAAGUGUACUACCACUCCUUCGGUCUGCGCCUCAAUCCCAACCUCUAUGAGUCUGGUACCGUCUGUCUUAGCCUGCUCGGCACAUUCGACGGUGAGGGCACCGAGUUAUGGUCACCGGCAACGUCGAGCCUCCUCCAAGUCGUUGUCUCCAUCCAUGGUCUCGUCCUCAACGCCCAACCAUACUACAACGAGGCCGGAUAUGAGAUCCUAGUCGGCAAACCGGAGGGCCAUCGCAAUGCAUUGCCCUACAGUGAGAAUGCUUACCUGCUCACCCUCCGGACCAUGCUCCACCUUUUGCGCCAGCCACCUCGGGGUUUUGAGAAAUUCGUCAAGGAACACUUCCGCUGUCGCGGAAGGUUUGUGCUCCGGCAAUGCAACAUGUCGUUGCAGGGAUAUGUUGUUGGUGAUGCCCAUGCCACUGAAUCAAGUAGUGAGCGACCAUGCUCGGCUGGGUUAAGGCUUGCACUCGCCAAUGUGGUGCCGAGCCUCAUCGCUGCCUUCACAGAGAUUGGCGCCGAGGGGUGCGACUAG